rnacentral:rRNA from 1 species
GACAGAGGCCCCAAGCGUUUAGGCGGAAUCACUGGGCUUAAAGCGUGUGUAGGCGGACGCCUAAGUGUCUUGUGAAAUCCCACGGCUCACCCGUGGAACUGCUGGGCAUACUGGGCGUCUUGGGCCAACUAGGGGCAGCCGGAACAAGCGGUGGAGCGGUGAAAUGCGUAGAUAUCGCUUGGAACGCCGAAGGUGAAAACAGGCUGCUGGGUUGCGCCGACGCUGAGACACGAAAGCCAGGGGAGCAAACGGG